GUGCUACCACAUACACUAAAAUUGCAACAACACAGAGAAGAUUAACAUGGCCCCUGCACAUCCAAGCUUCUUUGAAGGAUGUAGUUGGAAUGUUU
rnacentral:snRNA from 1 species